rnacentral:rRNA from 1 species
UACGUAGGGGGCGAGCGUUGUCCGGAUUUAUUGGGCGUAAAGAGCUCGUAGGCGGUUCGGCAAGUCGAAUGUGAAAUCUCCACGCUCAACGUGGAGGGGUCAUUCGAUACUGCCGUGACUUGAGUACGGUAGGGGAGUGUGGAAUUCCCGGUGUAGCGGUGAAAUGCGCAGAGAUCGGGAGGAACACCCGUAGCGAAGGCGGCACUCUGGGCCGAUACUGACGCUGAGGAGCGAAAGCGUGGGGAGCGAACAGG